rnacentral:lncRNA from 1 species
CGAAAAGUUUGUAGAUUUCUAGCUGUUUUUUCUGAUAUAUUAUACGAAUUAGAACUUCGACAAGCCAUUGUGAUGUAGGUAACCACGUUGGUGAAAUCACGUGAGAGGGGAGAGACGCCAUACCAUGAACAGAUGUCAACUAGAAAAAUGCAAACACUUGCAAAAGAUGUCCAAACAACUCCCAAUACUUCCAAAAUUUUUCAAAUUAUUACUGCCCAAAAUUCCAAAGAUGCAGUUGAUUCACCUUCAAAAUUUCUGCAUAUUAUAUCCCCAUUGCCUGAAGUUGUCAAUAAACAACGAAGGAAACAAUCUGCUGAAAUUUUAACAUCGGAAGAAAACAUGAUAAAACGAAAAGGAAAGCAAGAGAAAAAAGCCAGCAAAAGCACAGGGAAACGAAAAGUGAGAGUUCCAAGAAUGUUUACGUUCAUUGAUU